CCUCUCGGCAGCCAUGGCGGCUCUAUGUUUGUAUCGCCAUUGUUACCGUUGGGACGCCGCGGAUGACCCUAUAUACCCUUGGCCGGCUACCGGGAAGACUGCGUCUCCUGACGAUCGUAACGAAGAUGUACCGUGCUUUCCUUCUGAGAGUUUAGUCGCCCUAAUAUGUGCAGCAGGCUAACCGCGUGGUAAGGGGAAGGGCGUUCACGAUGUGCCCGAGGGCCGGGUGGACUGCCCCCAGAAGUCCCGAGAAGGAAAGCCGAGGCUCCUGUCUGGACUAGUACAACGCAGAAGCCCCUGGUUGGGGCUCCAGACCGGUCUCCCUUUCGUAGGGCUAAGGAGCACCAGGGAAAGACUCUGUCUAUAUUUGCUGCAUGCUGAAUACCAACUUGAGAUAACUCAGAUGUGAGACAGUACUCUGUCUAGUGUAAUGCCGCUGAGUUGGAGAGAAAGAAAAAGGGGUUUUAUUUGUAAAAAGCCUAGCCGGGCGUGGUGGCGCACGCCUUUAAUCCCAGCACUCGGGAGGCAGAGACAGGCGGAUUUCUGAGUUCGAGGCCAGCCUGGUCUACAAAGUGAGUUCCAGGACAGCCAAGGCUAUACAGAGAAACCCUGUCUCGAAAAACCAAACCAAAAAAAAAAAAAAAAAAAAAAGCCUUAGCAAGGACAAGCCAUGUGGACCCAUUGGAAUAGGAAUAAAAUACAAGUCUAGUGCAGUCCCCCAAAGUGAUCCUGAUAGGGUGUGUGCAGAAUGCUUUCUUCCUUUCCUUUCCCUAGGAAGCUUGCCUGCCAGAAAGAAAGCGCCUGUUGGGCUAUUAGGUGAGUUGGGCUAUUAGGUGAGUUGGGCUAUUAGGUGAGUUGACUCAAAGUUACUAAGAUUCGCAUUAACAGUCACGGUGUGGCACCCAGCACUUGCUUCAUCGACACCCUGCUCCUAGAGGCGUUGCAGGUGUGGCUGCUGUGUCACAUGUGCGUCAGUAGGUGGCAGAGAGAAAAGAGGCUAUGUCUACGCUCAGUGUUCUGCCCUGUGAACGUCUGAAUGAUUUGUAGCCUGACAACACUCCUGAAA
rnacentral:lncRNA from 1 species